UGGGCAACCUGCCCCUCUCUCUGGGAUAACCCCGGGAAACCGGAGCUAAUACCGGAUACUCCGGCUGGAUCGCAUGGUCCGGCCGGGAAAGGUCCGCCGGAGAGGGAUGGGCCCGCGGCCUAUCAGCUUGUUGGUGGGGUCAUGGCUCACCAAGGCGACGACGGGUAGCUGGUCUGAGAGGAUGGCCAGCCACACUGGGACUGAGACACGGCCCAGACUCCUACGGGAGGCA
rnacentral:rRNA from 1 species